CCUACGGGUGGCUGCAGUGGGGAAUAUUGGACAAUGGGCGAAAGCCUGAUCCAGCCAUGCCGCGUGUGUGAAGAAGGCCUUCGGGUUGUAAAGCACUUUCAGUGGGGAAGAAAGCCUUGGGGCUAAUACCCUCGAGGAAGGACAUCACCCACAGAAGAAGCACCGGCUAACUCCGUGCCAGCAGCCGCGGUAAUACGGAGGGUGCGAGCGUUAAUCGGAAUUACUGGGCGUAAAGCGCGCGUAGGCGGUCUGAUAAGCCGGUUGUGAAAGCCCCGGGCUCAACCUGGGAACGGCAUCCGGAACUGUCAGGCUAGAGUGUAGGAGAGGAAGGUAGAAUUCCCGGUGUAGCGGUGAAAUGCGUAGAGAUCGGGAGGAAUACCAGUGGCGAAGGCGGCCUUCUGGACUGACACUGACGCUGAGGUGCGAAAGCGUGGGUAGCAAACAGGAUUAGAUACCCUAGUAGUC
rnacentral:rRNA from 1 species